rnacentral:rRNA from 1 species
CCUACGGGCGGCAGCAGUGGGGAAUUUUGGACAAUGGGCGCAAGCCUGAUCCAGCCAUGCCGCGUGCAGGAUGAAGGCCUUCGGGUUGUAAACUGCUUUUGUACGGAACGAAAAGCCCCCUUCUAAUAAAGGGGGGUGAUGACGGUACCGUAAGAAUAAGCACCGGCUAACUACGUGCCAGCAGCCGCGGUAAUACGUAGGGUGCAAGCGUUAAUCGGAAUUACUGGGCGUAUAGCGUGCGCAAGCGGUGAAAUCCCCGGGCUCAACCUGGGAACUGCCUUUGUGACUGCAUAGCUUGAGUGCGGCAGAGGGGGAUGGAAUUCCGCGUGUAGCAGUGAAAUGCGUAGAUAUGCGGAGGAACACCGAUGGCGAAGGCAAUCCCCUGGGCCUGCACUGACGCUCAUGCACGAAAGCGUGGGGAGCAAACAGGAUUAGAUACCCCUGUAGUC